GAAUGCUGGUAGGUUGUGUGACAUCUGUCAUUCCACUGAUCACCAGGGUGGGUUUGGCUUGGCAUGUGUCCCCUUCCUCCCUUAAAAUUAGCUUCAUGUGCAUCUCUCUUGAAGCAGCACUCUGAGUUGAAGAUUCUGACCUUCCCAAACACAGAAGGACUGGUCUUGGUCAGAUGUAUACAAGUAGCUUCCCUCCCCUGUUAGAACCACCAUACAAGCAAGCUUUCAAGGUUCAUUUGUAGGAGAAAGUAGGAUAGUCAAGCUUUUAACACUCCAGACACACCCCAAUGAAGCCCUGCAGAUGGAAAGUCUGCCUUUCUAA
rnacentral:snRNA from 1 species